rnacentral:sRNA from 1 species
UAUAGACUCACGCUUAGUUUCCGGCUUAAGGAGCCGGGAAACGGGGGAACCAUUUUUUUGGGGCGAAUCAUUCAGCAAUGAUUGUAGGGUACCAUCUUACCCGAGCCCGUCAGCUAACCUCGUCAGCAGUGGAUGGGUCUAUAU